AUACGGAGGGUGCGAGCGUUAAUCGGAAUUACUGGGCGUAAAGCGUGCGUAGGCGGUUAAUUAAGUCAGAUGUGAAAGCCCAGGGCUCAACCUUGGAACUGCAUUUGAAACUGGUUAACUGGAGUAUGGUAGAGGGGGGUAGAAUUUCUGGUGUAGCGGUGAAAUGCGUAGAUAUCAGAAGGAAUACCGAUGGCGAAGGCAGCCCCCUGGACCAAUACUGACGCUGAGGUACGAAAGCGUGGGGAGCAAACAGGAUUAGAUACCCCUGUAGUCC
rnacentral:rRNA from 1 species